rnacentral:rRNA from 1 species
AUGCACGCUACGAGCUUGAUUUCCGACGCAUGCCUCAACGCGGAGAAGCUGCCAAGGGCCCUGAUCUUGUGUGGCGUCGUCGAAGCCGCCGCCGCGCUCUGCCUGAUCAUUUUCAAAGCUCCAGGAGGCAUAUUUCUCCACCAUGGCAAGGCUCCAUUCUACUUGUACUACGGCAUUCUCAUCGCCGUAGUCGUCUUCGGGCUCAUCGAGGCGUCAACCGGCUUCUGGGUGUCAGGCGACGUGGUCGGAAGGCGUGCUGCCGGGAAGACGUUCCUGUUUGUGUCCAUCCUGCCCCUCGUCAUCGUCGUUGCGUUGGGAGGCUUUGCCAUGCUGAACUUGAAAUAG